rnacentral:rRNA from 1 species
AUCCUUCAAAGCCGCCNUCAGUUCGGAUUGGGGUCUGCAACUNGACCCCANGAAGUCGGAGUCGCUAGUAAUCGCAGAUCAGCAACGNUGCGGUGAAUACGUUCCCGGGCNUNGUACACACCGCCCGUCACGUCANGAAAGUUGGUAACACCCGAAGCCAGUGGCCCAACCCCUUGUGGGAGGGAGCUGUCGAAGGUGGGAUCGGCGAUUGGGACGAAGUCGUAACAAGGUAGCCGUACCGGAAGGUGCGGCUGGAUCACCUCCUU